UAAGGCAGCUAGCUGGCCUGUAGUGCAGGAAGCCAGCUCCCAAGGUAAAAUGUCUUUAGACAAAUGAAAAAAUGUCUUUAGAAGGCCUGGGCUCUCUAUGGGGUGAGACUGAAUGCUAAGGCCCAAGCUUGCCUCUGGUAGAGGAGGGCUUUUCAACUGUUGGGGGGCAGGGAGCAGCUAGGAACUUGGUAGUAAGGACUCUGUAUA
rnacentral:lncRNA from 1 species